AGAAACUGCCUGGGCUUCAGUUUAGUGAACUACAAUACGUAAACGAUAUGUAAACAGUUAUCAUUUAAUAAGGAAAUAAUCCCUAUUUGAGGAAAGAGACAGUUGUAAAACGCUUGCUUAACAUCAUGGGCAAGCGCAAGAGAAACCUGGACAUCCCAGACGAUGUGAAAGACUUUGGCAUCUGCCAGAACGUCCACACCUGCCACAAAGUCCUGGGGAAAAUGUGGCGACAGUUUCCUGGACACUCCCGUCAUCCAGAAGCUGCAAACAUCAGAGAAGAAGAGCAGAAGCACGCGUAAAGUGGCUCUGAGGUCUGUUACUGCGAAUAGAGAUGCUGGCACAGAUGAUCCGGUUCACAUUGCCUGGAGCUCCAGUGAAGAGGAAGAAUCAGACAGUGAUAGUCAUCCUCCUCCUCGACUGAAUGUCACACAGGCACCACAGCCGCCCAGAGCACACAAACAACAUCUUGUUGACUAUUACAGAUGUCUGCGGUUGUUCAGCACUGGUGUAGAGACAGAUGACCUGCCCACUAUUGAUUCAGACAGUGAGAUAGAGGAAGAGAAUUCAGCUUCAAAAGAACGCACUGACUUUCUAAAUCCUGUUGCCUCACCAAACGAGAUUUCAGACUACUCCUCUUAUGAUGAUAAUGAUGAAGAUCCAGAAGAAAACAGAGCAGACUCUUCCUUUCUAGACGCAGCUGAGACCAGCAGGUAGUCGGUCAGCGAGUGGGUCCGAUCUGCUCAGGCGAUUCUUCAGACACCUCAGAAACAAACCCCUAAGAGCAUCAUGACCCCAGAGGACUCGAGUAAAAAGAGGAGGAGGUUUGAAAGGGGAGGUCUUGCUGAAAGACUGAACCGACUCCACAGCAGGCAAAGAUCAGCCAUCAGCUUCUGGAGACAUCAGUGCAGCUCAACUACAUCAGCUGCUGACAGGCCAGGGGUGCUGAUGCUGAGGAUUCUGGGAGUUCGGGAGGAAUGUGGCAUGCAGGCUGCUGUGUGUGACAGGCUGCCGGUUGGAGAAAUGUGUGUGGCUCUUUUCAGCAAGGACACGACUGCCCAGUUACUGCCUGUACCCGGAGACAUCGUCCACAUCUACCCACCAUGGCAGAAUCUGGUUGUGGAGGGUGAACGCUAUCCCAUAAUUCUCAACACCCACUUCAGUCAGAAUGUCUGCGAAGAGACUAAGCCAGAUAACGGAGGCGGUCCGAGAGCCGCGGUCGCUGUGGAGAAAUGCAGACCUCCGCCAUUAACCAGGAGCCUGUGGAGGUCAGGGACGAGCCAAGUGUCAACCGAGACAUCCAUUCCCUGUAAACAGGUUGGUGAGUUGAACAGACGAGGAGUUCGGAAGUCUCUGCUGGACGCAGUGGAGGAUUGUGGGUCGUCGGGCUCUCAGAGCGGUCCUGUUGAGGUGGUCGUUCAGAGGGUCUACUGCAUACCCAUCACCCAGUCCCUUCACAGAGCUUCUCUCCAGCACAGAGCACUGGACAGACCUCCAUCAGAAUCAGCACCACCGCAACACAUCGACAGGCUGUGCGUUCUCGUUCAGGAUGGUUACGGGAUGUUUGGUGAGGUUCUUCUGCACUGUGUGUCCACAGAAUCAGAGAUCCAGCAGAGCUUUGAGCAGCUGGAGGGCUGUGUGUGUCUCCUCCAGGCCCUGAGAGUCGUCCAGCGUCUCACGCACGACAAAUGUUCUCCGCUCUUCAGUAUGAUUGACAGUUUGUGGCCUCCUCCGGUUGAUCCAAAAUCUCAUGACGAUCUGCCACAGUCUCCCAGCGAUGAAUCUUCAAGGUGUCGUUGCAGCUUUUGGGCCACUGUGGUUCAUAAACAAUUACUGAGCUCAAAUGCAAGCGAGAGGGAGAUGCUGCUGUUUGUGACAGAUCCCAGUCUGCAAAUGGAGCUGAACACAGAGGGGAACAGGAGAACUAUAACCAUGUAUCUGAGCCCAUCCUGCCUGAUCCAGAGCUCAGUAACACAGGCGCUGGAAACCCCGCAGACACAACCCCUUCUGAUGUUCAGAGACGCUGUUGGACAUAUAUGAACACAUCAGCUGGAAAAGUUCGGCACUACUGAAUGGAAGCCGUUCAAGCUGAAAGUCUCUGUGGUUGCUUCUUCAUGUCUGAACUAUUUUGAGAUUUAGAGCUCAGAUACUCUGCUGGGAACAGACAGUGAUCCAACUGGAACCAGAGGACCCAUCCUUCUCCAUUCCGCUGC